rnacentral:rRNA from 1 species
AACUCUUAGCAGUGGGUCACUUGGCUUGCAUAUCGAUGAAGAAUGCAGCUAGCUGCAAGAACUAAUGCGACUUGCAGAACACAUUGAUCACUGACACUUUGAAUGUACUUGUGGGCCCUGCUCCUCCUGGGGCUACACCUGUGUGAGCAUCA